UUAUGGCUCAGGAUGAACGCUAGCUACAGGCUUAACACAUGCAAGUCGAGGGGCAGCAUUGGAGUAGCAAUACUUCAGAUGGCGACCGGCGCACGGGUGAGUAACACGUAUCCAACCUGCCGCUUACUCGGGGAUAGCCUUUCGAAAGAAAGAUUAAUACCCGAUGGUAUAAAGAGUUCGCAUGUUCUCUUUAUUAAAGAAUUUCGGUAAGCGAUGGGGAUGCGUUCCAUUAGAUUGUUGGCGGGGUAACGGCCCACCAAGUCUACGAUGGAUAGGGGUUCUGAGAGGAAGGUCCCCCACAUUGGAACUGAGACACGGUCCAAACUCCUACGGGAGGCAGCAGUGAGGAAUAUUGGUCAAUGGACGAGAGUCUGAACCAGCCAAGUAGCGUGAAGGAUGACUGCCCUAUGGGUUGUAAACUUCUUUUAUAAGGGAAUAAAGUGAGGGACGUGUCCCUUUUUGUAUGUACCUUAUGAAUAAGGAUCGGCUAACUCCGUGCCAGCAGCGGC
rnacentral:rRNA from 1 species